rnacentral:rRNA from 1 species
GAUGAACGCUGGCGGCGUGCUUAACACAUGCAAGUCGAACGGUGAAGGCGGAGCUUGCUCUGCUGGAUCAGUGGCGAACGGGUGAGUAACACGUGAGCAAUCUGCCCCUGACUCUGGGAUAAGCGCUGGAAACGGCGUCUAAUACUGGAUACGAGCUGCGAAGGCAUCUUCAGCAGCUGGAAAGAAUUUCGGUCAGGGAUGAGCUCGCGGCCUAUCAGCUUGUUGGUGAGGUAAUGGCUCACCAAGGCGUCGACGGGUAGCCGGCCUGAGAGGGUGACCGGCCACACUGGGACUGAGACACGGCCCAGACUCCUACGGGAGGCAGCAGGGGGGAAUAUUGCACAAUGGGCGAAAGCCUGAUGCAGCAACGCCGCGUGAGGGACGACGGCCUUCGGGUUGUAAACCUCUUUUAGCAGGGAAGAAGCGAAAGUGACGGUACCUGCAGAAAAAGCGCCGGCUAACUACGUG